rnacentral:lncRNA from 1 species
GCCGCCGAAGAAGCAUCGUUAAAGUCUCUCUUCUCCCUGCCAUCCUGUCUAAGUCAGAGUCUCCUAAAGAGCCCGAACAGCUUAGGAAGCUCUUCACUGGAGGGCUGAGCUUUGACACCACUGAUGAGAACCUGAGAAGCCAUUUUGAGCAAUAGGGAACGCUCACGGACUGUGUGGUCCUGAGAGAUCCAAACACCAAGUGCUCCGGGGGCUUUGGGUUUGUCACAUAUGCCACUGUGGAGGAGGUGGAUGCAGCCACAAAUGCAAGGCCACACAAGGUGGGUGGAAGAGUUGUGGAAACAGAGAGCUGUCUCAAGAGAAGAUUCCCAAAGACCAGGUGCCCACUUAACUGUGAAAAAGGUAUUUGUUGGUGGUUUUAAAGAAGACACUGAAGAACAUCACCUAAGAGAUUAUUUUUAACAGUUGGAAAAAUGGAAGUGAUUGAAAUCAUGACUGACUGAGGCAGUGGCAAAGAAAAAGGGGCUUUGCCUUUGUAACCUUUGACAACCAUGAUUCCGUGGAUAAGACUGUCAUUCAGAAAUACUAUACUGUGAAUGGCCACAACUGUGAAGUUAGGAAAGCCCUGUCAAAGCAAGAGAUGGCUAGUGUUUCAUCCAGCCAAAGAGGUGAAGUGGUUCUGGAAACUUUGGUGGUGGUCGUGGAGGUGGUUUCAGUGGGAAUGACAACUUUGGUUGUGGAGGAAACUUUAGUGGUCAUGGUGGCUUUGGUGGCAGCUGUGAUGUCAGUGGAUAUGGUGGCAGUGGGGAUGGUUAUAAUGGGUUUGGCAAUUAUGGUGGUUAUGGAGGAAGUGGCCCUGGUUACUCUGGAGGAAGCAGAGGCUAUGGAAGUGGUGGACAGGGUUAUGGAAACCAGGGCAGUGGCUAUGGCGGGAGUGGCAGCUAUGACAGCUAUAACAAUAGAGGUGGAGGUAGCUUUGGCAGUGGCAGUGGAAGCAGUUUUGGAGGUGGUGGAAGCUACAGUGAUUUGGGCAAUUAAAACAAUCAGUUUUCAAAUUUUGGACCCAUGAAGGGGGGAGAUUUUGGAGGCAGAAGCUCUGGCCCCUAUGGCGGUGGAGGCCAAUACUUUGCCAAACUGUGAAACCAAGGUGGCUAUGGCGGUUCCAGUAGCAGCAGUAGCUGUGGCAGUGGCAGAAGAUUUUAAUUAGGAAACAAAGCUUAGCAGGAGAGAAGAGCCAGAGAAGUGACAGGGAAGCUAUAGGUUACAACAGAUUUGUGAACUCAGCCAAACACAGUGGUGGCAGGGCCUAGCUGCUGCAAAGAAGACAUGUUUUAGACAAAUACUCAUGUAUAUGGGCAAAAAACUUGAGGACUAUAUUUGUGACUAAUUGUAUAACAGGUUAUUUUAGUUGCUGUUCUGUGGAAAGUGUAAAGCAUUCCAACAAAGGGUUUUAAUGUAGAUUUUUUUUUGCACCCAUGCUGUUGAUUGC